UUAGUACUCCCUCCGUCCCAAAAUACUUGUGGGAGAAAUGAAUAAAAAUGAAUGUAUCUAAAACUAAAAUAUGUCUAGAUACAUCCAUUCCUUCGACAAGAAUUUCCGGACGGAAGGAGUAUAUG
rfam:Triticum aestivum genome assembly, contig: Triticum_aestivum_CS42_TGACv1_scaffold_220646_3B